rnacentral:rRNA from 1 species
UACGAAGGGGGCUAGCGUUGCUCGGAAUCACUGGGCGUAAAGCGCACGUAGGCGGCUUUCUAAGUCAGGGGUGAAAUCCUGGAGCUCAACUCCAGAACUGCCUUUGAUACUGGAGAGCUUGAGUCCGGAAGAGGUGAGUGGAACUCCGAGUGUAGAGGUGAAAUUCGUAGAUAUUGGGAAGAACACCGGUGGCGAAGGCGGCAACCUGGUCCUUGACUGACGCUGAGGCGCGAAAGCGUGGGGAGCAAACAGG